UACGAAGGGGGCGAGCGUUGUUCGGAUUUACUGGGCGUAAAGGGCGCGUAGGCGCUUGUCAGUCAGGCGUGAAAGCCCCGGGCUCAACCUGGGAACGGCGCUUGGGACGGCGAGGCUGGAGUUCGGGAGAGGAGAGUGGAAUUCCCGAGUGUAGAGGUGAAAUUCGUAGAUAUUCGGAAGAACACCAGUGGCGAAGGCGACUUACUGGCCCAUGCUGACGCUGAGGCGCGAAAGCGUGGGGAGCAAACAGG
rnacentral:rRNA from 1 species